GGAGUUAGCCGGUGCUUCUUCUGCGAGUAACGUCACAGAUGUAAGGUAUUAACUUACACCCUUUCCUCCUCGCUGAAAGUGCUUUACAACCCGAAGGCCUUCUUCACACACGCGGCAUGGCUGCAUCAGGGUUUCCCCCAUUGUGCAAUAUUCCCCACUGCUGCCUCCCGUAGGAGUCUGGGCCGUGUCUCAGUCCCAGUGUGGCUGAUCAUCCUCUCAGACCAGCUAGGGAUCGUCGCCUAGGUGAGCCUUUACCUCACCUACUAGCUAAUCCCACCUGGGCUUAUCCAUCAGCGCAAGGCCCGAAGGUCCCCUGCUUUCCCCCGUAGGGCGUAUGCGGUAUUAGCAGUCGUUUCCAACUGUUAUCCCCCACAAAUGGGCAAAUUCCCAGGCAUUACUCACCCGUCCGCCGCUCGUCAUCUUCAAAAGCAAGCUUUUGAAAUGUUACCGCUCGACUUGCAUGUGUUAGGCCUGCCGCCAGCGUUCAAUCUGUGCCAGAAUCAAACUCUGA
rnacentral:rRNA from 1 species